rnacentral:rRNA from 1 species
UACGAACCGUGCGAACGUUGUUCGGAAUCACUGGGCUUAAAGGGCGCGUAGGUGGUCUGCCAAGUCGGGGUUGAAAUCUUUCGGCUCAACCGGAAAAGUGGCUUCGAUACUGGCAGGCUGGAGGGAGGCAGGGGCGGAUGGAACUUCCGGUGGAGCGGUGAAAUGUGUUGAUAUCGGAAGGAACGCCGGUGGCGAAAGCGAUCCGCUGGACCUCUUCUGACACUGAGGCGCGAAAGCCAGGGGAGCAAACGGG